rnacentral:rRNA from 1 species
UACGUAGGGGGCAAGCGUUGUCCGGAAUCAUUGGGCGUAAAGAGCGCGUAGGCGGCCCAGUAAGUCCGCUCUGAAAGUCAGGGGCUCAACCCCUGGAUGCGGGUGGAUACUGCUGGGCUAGAGUCCGGAAGAGGUGAGUGGAAUUCCUGGUGUAGCGGUGAAAUGCGCAGAUAUCAGGAGGAACACCGAUGGCGAAGGCAGCAAACUGGGCAUCAACUGACGCUGAGGCGCGAAAGCGUGGGUAGCAAACAGG